rnacentral:tRNA from 1 species
GGCGGCAUAGCCAAGUGGUAAGGCAAGCGUCUGCAAAAUGCUCAUCCCCCAGUUCGAAUCUGGGUGCCGCCU